rnacentral:lncRNA from 1 species
AAAAAAUAAAAAAGAAACAUCCUUAUCUUAAAGUCUUCUAGUAUUAACAGAAGAAGCACCACAUAACACAAAAACAAACACGCUUUUCUAAAUACAAGGAAAACUGAAUCCUGUUCAAGCUUUUCUCCAACUGUAAAUAUGCAUGUCACUUAAUUUUUCAGAACCAUAGUUUUGUUAAUUUGUUUUAAAGAUGUAAAACUAAGAGUGAACAGUAAGACUUUGCUUGUCUUAGGACUCAUCCAUUGCAGGUUGACCUCCCAGAGAUGGGACUGACUUCCUUCAAAGCUCCAUGGCAACAAGCUAUGGCCCAGUGAUUGAGACAGUUUCUCAAAACUUGAACAUCAGUCCCUCGGCAUAUCAAAGGAAGGGCUGGUAUUUCCCCAGUUGUGAACACAGCACUGCAGAAGUUAAUUAGAAAACAUACUGUAUCCCAGGGGCCAUGCUGAAUUCCUUAUAUAGUCGGUCCUCCAUAUCUGUUCCACAUACCAACAAAACUAGUGAUGCCAGCUGCUCUGAACGACCUAGCAAGAAACUGACUCAUGGAGGAAUGCAGUUUCAACAUCCUGAUGAUUACAUCCCCCUUACCCUGACCAAUCAACAAUCCAAAUUUUUCAGCUUCUCAUCCUCCACAGUCUCCUUAAAGGACCCCUUCAUGGAGCAAAUUUGUGGCUUGAGAUUUCCUCUCAUUUCCUAGUUCAAAGGCCUUGUGAUUAUUAAACUCAUUCUCGGCUGUAAACCCUGCUGCCUCAGUGUAUUGGUCCAUUGCUGCACAAUGAGCAUACAAACCUGGCAGUCCUGUAACACAAACACAGAAAUUAAAAGGCAACUGUGGACAUUGAUAUA